rnacentral:rRNA from 1 species
GACGAACGCUGGCGGCGUGCUUAACACAUGCAAGUCGAACGGAAAGGCCCUGCUUGCAGGGUACUCGAGUGGCGAACGGGUGAGUAACACGUGGGUGAUCUGCCCUGCACUUCGGGAUAAGCUUGGGAAACUGGGUCUAAUACCGGAUAGGACCGCACUUUAGUGUGUGUGGUGGAAAGUUUUUUCGGUGUAGGAUGAGCUCGCGGCCUAUCAGCUUGUUGGUGGGGUAAUGGCCUACCAAGGCGGCGACGGGUAGCCGGCCUGAGAGGGUGUACGGCCACAUUGGGACUGAGAUAAGGCCCAGACUCCUACGGGAGGCAGCAGUGGGGAAUAUUGCACAAUGGGCGCAAGCCUGAUGCAGCGACGCCGCGUGGGGGAUGAAGGCCUUCGGGUUGUAAACUCCUUUCGCUAGGGACGAAGCUUUUUGUGACGGUACCUAGAUAAGAAGCACCGGCUAACUACGUG